GAAAAGGUUCUGGCUAAUACCUGGGACUCAUGACGGUACCUGAAGAAUAAGCACCGGCUAACUACGUGCCAGCAGCCGCGGUAAUACGUAGGGUGCAAGCGUUAAUCGGAAUUACUGGGCGUAAAGCGUGCGCAGGCGGUUAUGCAAGACAGAGGUGAAAUCCCCGGGCUCAACCUGGGAACUGCCUUUGUGACUGCAUGGCUAGAGUACGGUAGAGGGGGAUGGAAUUCCGCGUGUAGCAGUGAAAUGCGUAGAUAUGCGGAGGAACACCGAUGGCGAAGGCAAUCCCCUGGACCUGUACUGACGCUCAUGCACGAAAGCGUGGGGAGCAAACAGGAUUAGAUACCCUGGUAGUCCACGCCCUAAACGAUGUCAACUGGUUGUUGGGAGGGUUUCUUCUCAGUAACGUAGCUAACGCGUGAAGUUGACCGCCUGGGGAGUACGGCCGCAAGGUUG
rnacentral:rRNA from 1 species